UAGGCUAAACUAAAUGGUUCAUCUUGAUAGGGUGAAAAUUAAUAGCCUAU
rnacentral:tRNA from 1 species